GACAGAGGGGGCAAGCGUUGCUCGGAAUUACUGGGCGUAAAGGGCGCGUAGGCGGGAUGGCAAGUCGGUCGUGAAAUCCCUCGGCUCAACCGAGGAACGUCGAUCGAUACUGCUGUUCUUGAGGAUUGCAGAGGAGACUGGAAUUCCGCGUGUAGCAGUGAAAUGCGUAGAGAUGCGGAGGAACACCGAUGGCGAAGGCAGCCCCCUGGGCUAACACUGACGCUCAGGCACGAAAGCGUGGGGAGCAAACAGG
rnacentral:rRNA from 1 species